GGAGGGUGCAAGCGUUACUCGGAAUCACUGGGCGUAAAGGACACGUAGGCGGGUUGGAAAGUCAGAUGUGAAAUCCUACAGCUCAACUGUAGAACUGCAUUUGAAACUUCUAACCUAGAGUAUGGGAGGGGGAGAUGGAAUUAGUGGUGUAGGGGUAAAAUCCGUAGAUAUCACUAGGAAUACCUAAAGCGAAGGCGAUCUCCUGGAACAUUACUGACGCUAAGGUGUGAAAGCGUGGGGAGCAAACGGGAUUAGAUACCCCGGUAGUCCACGCCCUAAACGAUGAACACUAGUCGUCGGGAUGCUUGUCAUCUCGGUGAUGCACUUAACAGAUUAAGUGUUCCGCCUGGGGAGUACGGUCGCAAGAUUAAAACUCAAAGGAAUAGACGGGGACCCGCACAAGUGGUGGAGCAUGUGGUUUAAUUCGAAGAUACGCGAAGAACCUUACCUAGCCUUGACAUUGAUUGAACGGACCAGAGAUGGACCGGUGCCCUUCGGGGAACAUGAAAACAGGUGCUGCACGGCUGUCGUCAGCUCGUGUCGUGAGAUGUUGGGUUAAGUCCCGCAACGAGCGCAACCCUCGUCCUUAGUUGCCAGCAGGUUAAGCUGGGCACUCUAAGGAGACUGCCUUCGCAAGGAGGAGGAAGGUGAGGACGACGUCAAGUCAUCAUGGCCCUUACGGCUAGGGCUACACACGUGCUACAAUGGGGCGUACAGAGUGUUGCGAUACCGCGAGGUGGAGCUAAUCACUUAAAGCGUCUCUCAGUUCGGAUUGGAGUCUGCAACUCGACUCCAUGAAGCUGGAAUCACUAGUAAUCGUAGAUCAGCAAUGCUACGGUGAAUACGUUCCCGGGUCUU
rnacentral:rRNA from 1 species